GUGCUUUUGAUUUCAUUCAUAGUAAAAAAAAAUGGCUUAAAAUAUUUAGUUUUCAAGCUGGUAAACGAUUUCUUUUCCUUUUCAGUCACUAUCAUGGUAAAAAAAGUCAAGGCUAUGGCUCAAUAAACCAAAACAUCACAAAAUAGUCCUCAAUAUAAGAUAUGCCUGAAGCCUCCACCAGCCAAAAUGCAUCAUAGUUCAUCACCAGGUUCAUCUAAAAGGCACUCGUGCACGCCGC
rnacentral:lncRNA from 1 species